rnacentral:rRNA from 1 species
AUGAGGGUCAUUGCAUAUGGCAUUCUGGUUGACUAUGCUAACGAAUAUCUUCGCAUUGGCGAAAAUACUACAAUUGAGUCAGUGCGAAGGUUCGCCGAAGUGAUGAUUCACGUCUUUCGUCAUGUCUAUGUUCAUGCACCCAACGAGGAAGACACAAAAAUGUUGAUGGCAGCAAAUGAGAGGCGAGGUUGGCCCAGCAUGGUAGGAGACGUUCAUUGCAUGCAUUGGACUUGA